rnacentral:rRNA from 1 species
UACGGGGAUCAGGGUUCGAUUCCGGAGAGGGAGCCUGAGAAACGGCUACCACAUCCAAGGAGGGCAGCAGGCGCGCAAAUUACCCACUCCCGGCACGGGGAGGUAGUGACGAUAAAUAACGAUACGGGACUCAUCCGAGGCCCCGUAAUUGGAAUGAGCAUACUCUAAAGCCUUGUGCGAGUAUCAAUUGGAGGGUAAGUCUGGUGCCAGCAGCCGCGGUAAUUCCAGCUCCAAUAGCGUAUAUUAAAGUUGUUGCGGUUAAAAAGCUCGUAGUCCGCAUUGUGUCUCGCCCCGUCGGUACACCGCCUGCCGGUGCUUAACUGGCGCGCGAGCGAGACGUCGUGCCGGUCGGUGUCGGUCGGCCGGCCAACGCGGCGAGCUACCCUCCGGCUCGUAGAGCCGUGGUAAGCGAGCCGCCGGCCGGUCGGCCGCCCUUCAAAUCCCGUCGCGGUGCUCUUAAACGAGUGUCGAGGCGGGCCGGCAAUAUUACUUUGAACAAAUUAGUGUGCUCACAGCAGGCUUAUAGUCGCCUGCAUAUAUGUGCAUGGAAUAAUGGAAUAGGACCUAGGUUCUAUUUCGUUCGGUUUAGGACCGUAGUAAUGAUCAACGGAAACGGGCGGGGGCAUUCGUAUUUGCUUACGUUAGAGGUGAAUUUCUUGGAUCGUAGACAGGACGGACGUAAGCGAUAGCAUUGCCCCAGUACGUCCGGCCGAUCAAAAACGAAGUUUAGAAGUUCGAAGGCGAUCAAGUAUACCGCCCGAGUUCUACCCAUAAACGAUUGCUGGCAGCGAUCCGCCGAAGUUCCUAAGAUGACACGGCGGGCAGCUCCGGGGAAACCAGGGCUUUCGGUUCCGGGGGAAGUAUGGUGCAAAGCUGAACUUAAAGGAAUUGACGGAAGGGCACCACCAGGAGUGGAGCUGCGGCUUAAUUUGACUCAACACGGGAAAACUCACCAGGCCCGGACACCGCAAGGAUUGACAGAUUGAUAGCUCUUUCUUGAUUCGGUGGGUGGUGGUGCAUGGCCGUUCUUAGUUCGUGGAGUGAUUUGUCUGGUUAAUUCCGAUAACCGAGCGAGACUCUAGCCUACUAACUAGGCGGACCGGUAUCCACAAUCGUGCUACCGGCGAGCCAAUAUCUUCUUAGAGGGACAGGCGGCUCCUAGCCGCACGAGACUGAGCAAUAACAGGUCUGUGAUGCCCUUAGAUGUCCUGGGCAGCACGCGCGCUACACUGAAGGAAUCAGCGUGUCUUCCCUGUCCGAGAGGAUCGGGUAACCCGCUGAACCUCCUUCGUGCUUGGGAUUGUGGCUUGCAAUUGUUCCACAUGAACGAGGAAUUCCCAGUAAGCGCUAGUCAUAAGCUGGCGUUGAUUACGUCCCUGCCCUUUGUACACACCG